UCCAGAGAUGGAUUGGUGCCUUCGGGAACUCUGAGACAGGUGCUGCAUGGCUGUCGUCAGCUCGUGUUGUGAAAUGUUGGGUUAAGUCCCGCAACGAGCGCAACCCUUAUCCUUUGUUGCCAGCGGUUAGGCCGGGAACUCAAAGGAGACUGCCAGUGAUAAACUGGAGGAAGGUGGGGAUGACGUCAAGUCAUCAUGGCCCUUACGAGUAGGGCUACACACGUGCUACAAUGGCGCAUACAAAGAGAAGCGACCUCGCGAGAGCAAGCGGACCUCAUAAAGUGCGUCGUAGUCCGGAUUGGAGUCUGCAACUCGACUCCAUGAAGUCGGAAUCGCUAGUAAUCGUAGAUCAGAAUGCUACGGUGAAUACGUUCCCGGGCCUUGUACACACCGCCCGUCACACCAUGGGAGUGGGUUGCAAAAGAAGUAGGUAGCUUAACCUUCGGGAGGGCGCUUACCACUUUGUGAUUCAUGACUGGGGUGAAGUCGUAACAAGGUAACCGUAGGGGAACCUGCGGUUGGAUCACCUCCUUA
rnacentral:rRNA from 2 species